rnacentral:rRNA from 1 species
GACGAACGCUGGCGGCGUGCUUAACACAUGCAAGUCGAACGGAAAGGCCCUGCUUUUGUGGGGUGCUCGAGUGGCGAACGGGUGAGUAACACGUGAGUAACCUGUCCUUGACUUUGGGAUAACUUCAGGACACUGGGGCUAAUACCGGAUAGGAGCUCCUGCUGCAUGGUGGGGGUUGGUAAGAUUCGGCGGUUGGGGAUGGACUCGCGGCUUAUCAGCUUGUUGGGUGGGUAGUGGCUUACCAAGGCUUGGACGGGUAGCCGGCCUGAGAGGGUGACCGGCUACAUUGGGACGGAGAUGCGGCCCAGACUCCUACGGGAGGCAGAAGUGGGGAAGAUUGCACAAUGGGCGGAGGCCUGAUGCAGCAACGCCGCGUGCGGGAUGACGGCCUUCGGGUUGUAUACCGCUGUCGCCUGUGACGAAGCGUUAGUGACGGUAAUGGGUAAAGAAGCACCGGCUAACUACGUG